CUUAGAGAUCUGGGCCCCCUAAAUUACCCCCUCUUCCAUUUUGGUGUUGAGAAGGCUUGUAUGUUCUCUCCCUGACCUAGGUUCUAUAGAUGAGGAACAAUGAGCUGUUCUAGCUGACACGGGGCCUCCAUCACUCCCCCUCUUUAGCCCAUAUUUGCAAGGGUAGGAGAGAGAGUGUGUGUGUGUUGUGUGUGUGUGUGUGUGUGUGUAGGGUUGAUGGUGAGAGAUGGGGAGCUCCUUCCCCAAAGCUGACAGUGGCUUUGCCUUGAUGUGUCAGGCCUCUCUGAAGGCAAUAGUCCCAAAUGAAUGUUUAUCAGGAGAAGGUUUGCUGGUGGGUCAGUGAUCCUUAAUGUGAUAGAAAUAUCCAGCAUGUAAAAAGAAAGGAUGGGAGAUGGUGGCCCGUGAAGAACAGUGGUAAACACAUUGAAGCUGGG
rnacentral:lncRNA from 1 species